rnacentral:rRNA from 1 species
UACGAAGGGGGCGAGCGUUGUUCGGAAUUACUGGGCGUAAAGGGCGCGUAGGCGGUGUGUCAAGUCAGGCGUGAAAGCCCCGGGCUCAACCUGGGAACGGCGCCUGAGACUGGCACGCUCGAGUUCGGGAGAGGAUGGUGGAAUUCCCAGUGUAGAGGUGAAAUUCAUAGAUAUUGGGAAGAAUACCGGUGGCGAAGGCGGCCUGCUGGGCAGUGGCUGACGCUGAGGCGCGACAGCGUGGGGAGCAAACAGG